UAGAGCUAACAUGGCGAAACGUCGUUCACCUUAUUAAAGAUAUUUGGAGGAUUACACAGCAGAGAUCCCAAGGAGUACCAAGCACAGAUGGAAAGUAAAAGACAGAACUGCAGGACUACACAGAAGAACACAUAAGUCACCCUGUUGCAUCCCGCAGAGAAGUUACAGAUGUUGACAGCAGGAGUUCCUCCACUAUAAGGGUUUUGGACAUUGCCUUUCAACAGGGCUCUGAAGACCAAGCAGAUGGUGACAACCCCCUAUAUCCUGGUGCAUCUUUUUUCAAGGGAGAAAGUCUACUGAUGCUCAUGUUAUAUGUGCUGCGACACAAUUUAACAAGCAAAGCAGUUACUCACUUAUUGGAAUUGUUUAACCUAAAGUUUCCAGGUCUGAUUUUACCCAUUUCCACAAAGAAUUUAGA